rnacentral:rRNA from 1 species
AUACGGAGGGGGUUAGCGUUGUUCGGAAUUACUGGGCGUAAAGCGUACGUAGGCGGAUUGGAAAGUAUGGGGUGAAAUCCCAGGGCUCAACCCUGGAACUGCCUCAUAAACUCCCAGUCUAGAGUUCGAGAGAGGUGAGUGGAAUUCCGAGUGUAGAGGUGAAAUUCGUAGAUAUUCGGAGGAACACCAGUGGCGAAGGCGGCUCACUGGCUCGAUACUGACGCUGAGGUACGAAAGUGUGGGGAGCAAACAGGAUUAGAUACCCCGGUAGUCC